rnacentral:rRNA from 1 species
CAGUCGCCGCGGUAAAACGGAGGAUCCAAGCGUUAUCCGGAAUCAUUGGGUUUAAAGGGUCCGUAGGCGGUCUUGUAAGUCAGUGGUGAAAGCCCAUCGCUCAACGGUGGAACGGCCAUUGAUACUGCAGGACUUGAAUUAUUGGGAAGUAACUAGAAUAUGUAGUGUAGCGGUGAAAUGCUUAGAGAUUACAUGGAAUACCAAUUGCGAAGGCAGGUUACUACCAAUUGAUUGACGCUGAUGGACGAAAGCGUGGGGAGCGAACAGGAUUAGAUACCCCUGUAGUCCCUGUCUCUUAUAC